GCUGGCGGCAGGCUUAACACAUGCAAGUCGAACGGUUGUAGCAAUACAGCAGUGGCGCACGGGUGAGUAACACGUGGAUAUCUGCCUUUUGGUUCGGAAUAACCCUGGGAAACUAGGGCUAAUACCGGAUGGUUCCUACGGGAUAAAGAUUUAUCGCCAAAAGAUGAGUCCGCGUACGAUUAGCUAGUUGGUGAGGUAAUGGCUCACCAAGGCGACGAUCGUUAGCUGGUCUGAGAGGACGAUCAGCCACACUGGGACUGAGACACGGCCCAGACUCCUACGGGAGGCAGCAGUGGGGAAUAUUGGACAAUGGGGGCAACCCUGAUCCAGCCAUGCCGCGUGAGUGAUGAAGGCCUUCGGGUUGUAAAGCUCUUUUGGCGGGGACGAUGAUGACGGUACCCGCAGAAUAAGCCCCGGCUAACUUCGUGCCAGCAGCCGCGGUAAGACGAAGGGGGCUAGCGUUGUUCGGAAUUACUGGGCGUAAAGCGAGUGUAGGCGGUUGUCAUAGUCAGGUGUGAAAGCCUUGAGCUUAACUCAAGAAAUGCACUUGAUACUGGGCGACUAGAGGACCGGAGAGGAUAGUGGAAUUCCCAGUGUAGUGGUGAAAUACGUAGAGAUUGGGAAGAACACCAGUGGCGAAGGCGGCUAUCUGGACGGUUACUGACGCUAAGACUCGAAAGCGUGGGGAGCAAACAGGAUUAGAU
rnacentral:rRNA from 1 species